rnacentral:rRNA from 1 species
UAGCUAAUCUGCCCUACACUAGAGGACAACAGUUGGAAACGACUGCUAAUACUCUAUACACCUCUCUAGCAUAAGUUAGAUAGGGAAAGUUUUUCGGUGUAGGAUGAGGCUAUAUUGUAUCAGCUAGUUGGCGAGGUAAUGGCUUACCAAGGCUAUGACGCAUAACUGGUCUGAGAGGAUGAUCAGUCACACUGGAACUGAGACACGGUCCAG